rnacentral:rRNA from 1 species
GAUGAACGCUGGCGGCGUGCUUAACACAUGCAAGUCGAACGAAGCACUUUAUUUGAUUUCCUUCGGGACUGAUUAUUUUGUGACUGAGUGGCGGACGGGUGAGUAACGCGUGGGUAACCUGCCUUGUACAGGGGGAUAACAGUUGGAAACGGCUGCUAAUACCGCAUAAGCGCACAGCAUCGCAUGAUGCAGUGUGAAAAACUCCGGUGGUAUAAGAUGGACCCGCGUUGGAUUAGCUAGUUGGUGAGGUAACGGCCCACCAAGGCGACGAUCCAUAGCCGACCUGAGAGGGUGACCGGCCACAUUGGGACUGAGACACGGCCCAAACUCCUACGGGAGGCAGCAGUGGGGAAUAUUGCACAAUGGGCGAAAGCAUGAUGCAGCGACGCCGCGUGAGCGAAGAAGUAUUUCGGUAUGUAAAGCUCUAUCAGCAGGGAAGAUAAUGACGGUACCUGACGAAGAAGCACCGGCUAAAUACGUG